UACGUAGGGAGCAAGCGUUGUCCGGAAUCAUUGGGCGUAAAGCGCGCGUAGGUGGCCCCGUAAGUCCGCUGUGAAAGUCAAAGGCUCAACCUUUGAAAGCCGGUGGAUACUGUGGGACUAGAAUACGGAAGAGGCGAGUGGAAUUCCUGGUGUAGCGGUGGAAUGCGCAGAUAUCAGGAGGAACACCAAUAGCGAAGGCAGCUCGCUGGGACGUUACUGACACUGAGGCGCGAAAGCGUGGGGAGCGAACAGG
rnacentral:rRNA from 1 species